rnacentral:lncRNA from 1 species
ACAGUGCUACUGGCCCAUAAUCAGGCAACUGCAGAGUCUUAGGGGGUUAUCUAAUGUAGUCUUGGGGUGGCUGGAUAGACUUCCCAAAGAAGGUGAUGCCGAAGCUGAGGUCGGAAAUUACGAAGAUCAGCUAUUGACUUUCUCCAAUGAAGUCUUGAACCCCUUAAAUUCAUCCAUGAGGGCUGGAGUCUACUUCUUCAAAACUCCUAUUAAUGUUGAUAUUUUGACCUUUUCCCGUGAAUCACCAAUCAUCUACUUGUUUCCAAAGUUAUUUGGGUCAGCAUUUUCCUCCACCCACCACUUAAAACUGAUUUGUUUCAUACAUUUGAAAUGUAUGAAAAGCCAGAAAUCCAGGACCCACCCUGGCCUGCUCCCUUUUUCUCACCUACUGUGUUAAGAUGUCUACACUUUUACCUCUGCUUGCCUGAUACAACCACCACCAGUCACCUCACAGAAUAACUCACUCCUUAAGAAUCUGAUCAGGAAUCAGCCUUCCCUGAUCACAAACACUGAGUUUAGAAGUCCCUCCACAGUGUCCCCCGUAACCCUGUGCUACCUCACUGCCUCAUAGUUUAGUGCCGUUUGUGUACAUGCCUAUCUUCGUCCAUGGAUCCAGAACAACUUGUAAAAAUGACUGUACUUAUCACCUUCAGUAUUCAAUGACUAAACUAUAAUUUUAACAUAUCUGGCAGAAUGAAUCACUUGGGGAUUUCUGCCAACACUACCAAUAUAUUACUCCUAAUUUGUAAUUAUUACUUAGCAUGGAUUAUAGUACCGGCUGUUGGAGAGCCAAUGUGGCAGACCCUAAGUGGAAUAAAAUGUCAGUAGCAGUCUAGGAGCAUAUAUUUAUUGGAAUAGAUCAUUCAUUCAUUUGUUCAUUAACUAAUUUGUUCAUUAAAUAAACAUUUAUUAAGCA